CAGAAUGACUAUAGGCAAUGGAUAUCUAGGCUCUAGCAUCGAUGAAGAAUGUAGCGAAAUGCGAUACGUGGUGUGAAUUGCAGAAUCCCGUGAACCAUCGAGUUUUUGAAUGCAAGUUGCGCCCGAAGCCUUCAGGUUGAGGGCACGUAUGCCUGGG
rnacentral:rRNA from 1 species